rnacentral:misc_RNA from 1 species
GAUGAAGAACGUAGCGAAAUGCGAAAAGUAAUGUGAAUUGCAGAAUUCAGUGAAUCAUCGAAUCUUUGAACGCACAUUGCGCCCGCCAGUAUUCUGGCGGGCAUGCCUGUCUGAGCGUCAUUUCAACCCUCAUGCCCCUAGGGCGUGGUGUUGGGGAUCGGCCAAAGCCCGCGAGGGACGGCCGGCCCCUAAAUCUAGUGGCGGACCCGUCGUGGCCUCCUCUGCGAAGUAGUGAUAUUCCGCAUCGGAGAGCGAUGAGCCCCUGCCGUUAAACCCCCAACUUUCCAAGGUUGACCUCAGAUCAGGUAGGAAUACCCGCUGAACUUAAGCAUAUCAAUAAGCGGAGGA